CGAACGCUGGCGGCGUGCCUNNAGUAAAGUGGCGCACGGGUGAGUAACACGUAGGUGACCUGCCUUUUAGAGGGGAAUAACCAGAUGAAAAUUUGGCUAAUGCCGCAUACGAAGUACAAAUCUAAAAGUAGUACUUGAAAGGAUGCCUCUGUAUAUGCAUCCACUAAAAGAUGGGCCUGCGGAACAUUAGCUAGUUGGUGGGGUAAAGGCCUACCAAGGCAACGAUGUUUAUCCGGUCUGAGAGGAUGAUCGGACACACUGGAACUGAGACACGGUCCAGACUCCUACGGGAGGCAGCAGUGGGGAAUAUUGCGCAAUGGGGGAAACCCUGACGCAGCAACGCCGCGUGAGUGAGGAAGGACUUCGGUCUGUAAAGCUCUGUUAAUGUGGAAAAAUGGUAGCUGGUCUAAUAGGCCGGCUAUUUGAUGGUACACAUAGAGGAAGCACCGGCUAACUUCGUGCCAGCAGCCGCGGUAAUACGAAGGGUGCAAGCGUUGUUCGGAUUUAUUGGGCGUAAAGCGCGCGUAGGCGGACCUGUAAGUCAGAUGUGAAAUCUCGGGGCUCAACCCCGAAACUGCGUCUGAAACUGCAGGUCUAGAAUCUUGGAGGGGGAAGGGGAAUUUCGCAUGUAGGGGUAAAAUCCGUAGAUAUGCGAAGGAACACCAGAGGCGAAGGCGCCUUCCUGGACAAGUAUUGACGCUGAGGCGCGAAAGCGUGGGGAUCAAACAGGAUUAGAUACCCUGGUAGUCCACGCUGUAAACGAUGAAUACUAGGUAUUGGAGGAUUUGACCCCUACAGUGCCGUAGCUAACGCGUUAAGUAUUCCGCCUGGGAAGUACGGUCGCAAGACUAAAACUCAAAGGAAUUGACGGGGGCCCGCACAAGCGGUGGAGCAUGU
rnacentral:rRNA from 1 species